rnacentral:rRNA from 1 species
UACGGAGGGUGCAAGCGUUAAUCGGAAUUACUGGGCGUAAAGCGCACGUAGGCGGUAAGUUAAGUUGGAUGUGAAAGCCCCGGGCUCAACCUGGGAAUUGCAUUCAAAACUGGCUCGCUAGAGUAUGUGAGAGGGGGGUAGAAUUCCAAGUGUAGCGGUGAAAUGCGUAGAGAUUUGGAGGAAUACCGGUGGCGAAGGCGGCCCCCUGGACAAAGACUGACGCUCAGGUGCGAAAGCGUGGGGAGCAAACAGGAUUAGAUACCCUGGUAGUCCACGCCGUAAACGAUGUCUACUAGCUGUUCGUGGUCUUGUACCGUGAGUAGCGCAGCUAACGCACUAAGUAGACCGCCUGGGGAGUACGGUCGCAAGAUUAAA